ACUCUGAAAAGAUAGGAGGCUUACACUCUCGUCAGUCUUCUUUAUCGCUCGGAUGUCGGACGAAGUGACUUCUGAUUCCGCGUGAAGACGUAUGUACGUAGUUUGAAUUUUCUCGUGACAGAUUCGAACGCGAGAAUUGAGGUUUUCUGGUUAAUGUCAAGGUGUGAAAGGUGCGCACGAUCGUUUUAAUCCGUCGUUAUACGGCUCCGACUGCAGAGUUUGCGAUAGAGUCUUGAUCGUUUCGAGAGCGUAUAACAAUAGCACGGGAAACGUUGAGUCGAAGCCAUGAGGAACCGCCUGUCAAAGCUGCCAAUUCUAACUAAGGAAAAUCGUGACUAUUUCCUCAGCACUCAUUUCUGGGGCCCGGUAUUCAAUUGGGCGAUACCGAUUUCCGCUAUAAUCGAUAGAAAAAAAGAUCCGAAAAUAAUCAGCGGUAAAAUGACGUUAGCUUUGUUCCUCUACUCGAUGGUGUUCAUGAGGUUCGCCGUAAAAGUGAAACCCCGUAACACGUUGUUGUUCGCUUGUCAUUUCGUAAAUGCCGGUGCUCAGCUGACGCAGGGUUACCGUUUUAUACAGUACCACUACGAACUUGGAAGCUUUGCGACACCCGAAAACGCGGAGAACCCGGAGGUCGCCGCCACGGCGGAGGCUGUAAAGAGUUGAAAAAAAAUCAGAGGAAGAAAGAAAAUUGACGAACUUAUUCGUUGACGACAUUAUCGUAACUCCUCGUCGUCGCUCAAGUCAUCGUUGGAUGAAUCUUUAACAGGAGAAAAUUUUUUCCAUCGCAUCGUUCGAUACGGGAAAGGGAUCCCCUUCGCCGUAAUGGACGUCGCACUGAUGAAUGCAAAUUUAUGAAAAGUCUCCUCUCCGCUGCAGGGCGAAACGUAUGAAAUAAAAAGAAAAAAAAUAUAUAUAUACAUAUAUCCAGAGAAUUGGGAAAA